rnacentral:lncRNA from 1 species
AUUUGAUAUUCUGAAGUCGCCCAAACAAUACAAUGCAAAAUGGCUCCAUAGCGCCCCCUAAGGUGAAAAAUUCACCUGACGCCUGUACGCUUUGUCAAAAUGACACAAAAAUUGAAACACACAUGUAUCUCAAUAAGAUCUAUAAAAAAGUCAGUGCGGGCGUAUCUGUCAAAUGUACGGUUAAAGGGUUAUUUCGCAUUUUUUGCCGAUCCGCACACAUUGGAAUUUCGCUAACUCCUCCGAAGGCUUUCGUUCCACCGGCACCACAUUUGCUCAGGCCAAUCUACACCCCAUGGCCAUUAAAAGUUAUUCAAAUCAUGACGCUGCACCCCACGGUUUAUGUUCUAGGGGGCGCCAAAGAUAACCCUAAAAUCCACAUAUUUCAAAGUCUUAUAACUUUUUAUUUUUGCCCUCACUGGCCUCCAAGUUUUCUAGGAUGAUGCAAUGUCCAGCCAUCAACACAUUUGUGAAGGAAUUUUUACUCCCCAAAAGAGCGCCCCCCCAUGGCAGGAGAAAAAAGUCCAUUUUUUCUUGUUCCAUAAGGUGAAAAUUCACACUAUUGACUGUCACGCCUGUACGCUUUGUCAAAAUUACACAAAAAUUGACACACACAUGUAUCUCAAUAAGAUCUACAAAAAAGUCAGUGCGGGCGUAUCUGUCAAAUGUACGGUUAAAGGGUUAUUGCGCAUUUUUUGCCGAUCCGCACACAUUGGAAUUUCGCUAACUCCUCCGAAGGCUUUCGUUCAACCGGCACCACAUUUGCUCAGGCCAAUCUACACCCCAUGGCCAUUAAAAGUUAUUCAAAUCAUGACGCUGCACCCCACGGUUUAGGUUCUAGGGGGCGCCAAAGAUAACCCUAAAAUCCACAUAUUUAAAAGUCUUAUAACUUUUUAUUUUUGUCCUCUCUGGCCUCCAAGUUUUCUAGGAUGAUGCAAUGUCCAGCCAUCAACACAUUUGUGAAGGAAUUUUUACUCCCUAAAAGAGCGCCCCCCCAUGGCAGGAGAAAAAAGUCCAUUUUUUAUUGUCCCAUAAGGUGAAAAUACACAUUGUUGACUGUCAUACCUGUAUGCUUUGUCAUAUUGACACAAAAUUUGACACACACAUGUAUCUCAAUAAGAUCUACGAAAAAGUCAAUGCGCGCGUAUCUGUAAAAUGUACGGUUAAAGGGCUAUUUUGCAUUUUUUGCCGAUUAGCACACAUUGGAAUGUGGCUAACUCCUCCUAAGGCUUUCGUCCCACUGACACCAAAUUUGCUCAGGCCAAUCUACACCCCAUGGCCAUUCAAAGUUUUAAAAAUCAUGACGCUGCACCCCACGGUUUACGUUCUAGGGGGCGCCAAAGAUAACCCUAAAAUCCACAUAUUUAAAAGUCUUAUAACUUUUUAUUUUUGUCCUCACUGGCCUCCAAGUUUUCUAGGAUGAUGCAAUGUCCAGCCAUCAACACAUUUGUGAAGGAAUUUUUACUCCCCAAAAGAGCGCCCCCCCAUGGCAGGAGAAAAAAGUCCAUUUUUUCUUGUCCCCUAAGGUGAAAAUUCACACUAUUGACUGUCACGCCUGUACGCUUUGUCAAAAUUACACAAAAAUUGACACACACAUGUAUCUCAAUAAGAUCUACAAAAAAGUCAGUGCGGGCGUAUCUGUCAAAUGUACGGUUAAAGGGUUAUUGCGCAUUUUUUGCCGAUCCGCACACAUUGGAAUUUCGCUAACUCCUCCGAAGGCUUUCGUUCAACCGGCACCACAUUUGCUCAGGCCAAAUUACACCCCAUGGCCAUUAAAAGUUAUUCAAAUCAUGACGCUGCACCCCACGGUUUAGGUUCUAGGGGGCGCCAAAGAUAACCCUAAAAUCCACAUAUUUAAAAGUCUUAUAACUUUUUAUUUUUGUCCUCUCUGGCCUCCAAGUUUUCUAGGAUGAUGCAAUGUCCAGCCAUCAACACAUUUGUGAAGGAAUUUUUACUCCCUAAAAGAGCGCCCCCCCAUGGCAGGAGAAAAAAGUCCAUUUUUUAUUGUCCCAUAAGGUGAAAAUACACAUUGUUGACUGUCAUACCUGUAUGCUUUGUCAUAUUGACACAAAAUUUGACACACACAUGUAUCUCAAUAAGAUCUACGAAAAAGUCAAUGCGCGCGUAUCUGUAAAAUGUACGGUUAAAGGGCUAUUUUGCAUUUUUUGCCGAUUAGCACACAUUGGAAUGUGGCUAACUCCUCCUAAGGCUUUCGUCCCACUGACACCAAAUUUGCUCAGGCCAAUCUACACCCCAUGGCCAUUCAAAGUUUUAAAAAUCAUGACGCUGCACCCCACGGUUUACGUUCUAGGGGGCGCCAAAGAUGACCCAAAUAUCCACAUUCUUAAAAGAAUCCACAUCCCUUCCCCCCCUCCCAUCCCCCAUCCCCCAUGGCAGGAGAAACAGUCAAGUUUUUCCUGCCCAUCACUCAAUGGCUCAAUCGCAUCGCUCUCCCGGCAACACCGUAACGAGGAGCAACUUGCCGUUUGGAUAUAUCCUAGCUGUGUUUGUGCCCUCACUCAUGGUCCAGACUUUUUUCAAAUAGGACAUGGAGUUUGUCUGCAGCGAGUGUUUUGGUAGAAACUGCGCCUCCCAUUCAUUAUAAUGGGAAAUGACCACAGACAAGUGCGCACACCAUCUUUGGACCUUGAGUGUGACGCGAUCGGGAGGGGGAGGCGGUCGCACUGGGGGCGGCGCAACGCGGCUCGGGCCCGCCAGUGCCCCACCGGGGCCCUAGUUUCUUUUUCCUCCCCUUUGAACUGGAAAAUGGCCCACUUCCCACUGGCGAAAACUCAUGAAAUUUGGCAGGACGACCUGGCCUGGUGAAAAAUUUGAUAUUCCGAAGUCGCCCAAACAAGAAAAUGCAAAAUGGCUCCAUAGCGCCCCCUAAGGUGAAAAUUCACACUAUUGACUGUCACGCCUGUACGCUUUGUCAAAAUGACACAAAAAUUGACACACACAUGUAUCUCAAUAAGAUCUACAAAAAAGUCAGUGCGGGCGUAUCUGUCAAAUGUACGGUUAAAGGGUUAUUGCGCAUUUUUUGCCGAUCCGCACACAUUGGAAUUUCGCUAACUCCUCCGAAGGCUUUCGUUCCACCGGCACCACAUUUGCUCAGGCCAAUCUACACCCCAUGGCCAUUAAAAGUUAUUCAAAUGAUGACGCUGCACCCCACGGUUUAGGUUCUAGGGGGCGCCAAAGAUAACCCUAAAAUCCACAUUUUUAAAAGUCUUAUAACUUUUUAUUUUUGCCCUCACUGGCCUCCAAGUUUUCUAGGAUGAUGCAAUGUCCAGCCAUCAACACAUUUGUGAAGGAAUUUUUACUCCCCAAAAGAGCGCCCCCCAUGGCAGGAGAAAAAAGUCCAUUUUUUCUUGUCCCCUAAGGUGAAAAUACACAUUGUUGAGUGUCACGCCUGUACGCUUUGUCAAAAUGACACAAAAAUUGACACACACAUGUAUCUCAAUAAGAUCUACAAAAAAGUCAGUGCGGGCGUAUCUGUCUAAUGUACGGUUAAAGGGUUAUUCCGCAUUUUUUGCCGAUUCGCACACAUUGGAAUUUCGCUAACUCCUCCGAAGGCUUUCGUUCCACCGGCACCACAUUUGCUCAGGCCAAAUUACACCCCAUGGCCAUUAAAAGUUAUUCAAAUCAUGACGCUGCACCCCACGGUUUACGUUCUAGGGGGCGCCAAAGAUAACCCAAAAAUCCACAUUUUUAAAAGUCUUUUAACUUUUUAUUUUUGUCCUCACUGGCCUCCAAGUUUUCUAGGAUGAUGCAAUGUCCAGCCAUCAACACAUUUGUGAAGGAAUUUUUACUCCCUAAAAGAGCGCCCCCCAUGGCAGGAGAAAAAAGUCCAUUUUUUCUUGUCCCCUAAGGUGAAAAUACACAUUGUUGACUGUCACGCCUGUACGCUUUGGCAAAAUGACACAAAAAUUGACAAUCAUGUGUAUCUCAAUUAGAUCUACGAAAAAGUCAAAGAGCGCGUAUCUGUAUAAUGUACGGUAAAAGGGCUAUUUUGCAUUUUUUGCCAAUUCGCACACAUUGGAAUUUCGCUAACUCCUCCUAAGGCCUUCGUCCCACUGACACCAAAUUUGCUCAGGCCAAUCUACACUCCAUGGCCAUUCAAAGUUGUAAAAAUCAUGACGCUGCACCCCACGGUUUACGUUUUAGGGGGCGCCAAAGAUGACCCAAAUAUACAUUACAGUAGACAAAGUAGUUUUGCCCACUGAGUGGCGCCAAAGGGACUUGUCUGUGGAGUCUGUGAGUCACUAUUGGCCGUUUUUGACUACUUUAGAUUUUACCUUUAUAUUUCCUCUUACAAAAUUUUUACCUUGCCUUGCCUGGUAUCAUUUUUUUCAGCACAACCUCACCUGUGUCAAUUUACAGUUAUUUUAUCAUUUUGACAUACUAUAUUUACACAUUGGACCCAAAUUCACACACAAAACAUAAAAUCCGAGUGGAAAAAAGUAACGUUUUUACUGUGAAAACCACAAAUAUGUGUGAUGAACUGUUUUUAAAACUUAAACUUCAAAUAAAAAUUGUAAACUUCAAAACAUAUGCAAAUUUUUAACAAAGAACAUAGUAAUUUACCUCUAUUGACAUCAAAAUGCAGGCAAUGGCCCAGGUGUUCUUUGUAAAAUUAUUUACAAAACACUGUAUAGUCUCACAAAUGUCACUUUUUAUUUAUGCCACUACAAAAAAACAUGAUGUAAAUGAUGCAUGAUGUAAAACAUGAUGUAAAAAACUUGUGUAGAUCCUCCUCUAUGUCAGUCCAUGUGUAAUUUUUCCAUAAUUCUUUGUUUUUUGCAGCAUUUUUGUUAGUGUAACUGCAGAUUGUGCUGACAGUGUCUAUGGCAAAAAAAAAAAAAAACUGAAAAUGCCUCAACAUGAACCCCUGGUGGUCUCUGAGGGUGAAACCUGCUAACUGCUGCAGCUCUGUCAGCUUCAGUCUCCCAUGCAGAGCUCGGAGCGCAUGUGUGGCUCUGCACCCUUAGCAGUGUUGCUAACUCCUCAGUAAGGAAAGCCUGCUUCAUGUCAGAGUCUCUAAACUCCAGAAGAAGUCGAUAAAAGUCCCUUUCUUUCUAAAAAAAAGUCGUUAGGGGGUCUGAAAAGUCAUUGAAUCUAACAACAAAGUCGCUAGGUUUGCAACUACGUGUCCCAGACUGCAUCCCUGCUGAGAGUCCCUCCCUCCCUUCUCAUGUUGCAGGAAGAACGUAAGCGCCCGCCCCUUGUCAAUCCGUCACCAUAUAAUUUUGGAUUGGUUGUUGUGGUGAAGUUUUCCACCAAUAGGAGAGAUGUUGUGGUGUGUUUUUUUUUUCUUUUGGCAAGCCUUUUCCGCCUGUAAGACCUGUCGCUAAUGUCUGCAUGCUAUGUUUUCCUGUCUCAUACAGCGCGAUCGAGCGCCGAACGUGAUCAAAAUAAGCAGAAAAAAAGUAUCGCGGACAUAAUUUAUCAUAACUCUGGUUUUAUUUGGCCUAUCAACACAAUUUAAAAACUGGUAUAUAGGUUGAGGUCCUCACUUUUGAGAUAAGUUGAAACGGAGAGUCAACGAGGCUCCGUCUUGCAGCUACAUCCGGUUAAAUAUGUCAUGUGAUUUGAACGCACACAUAGACACACACACACACACACACACACACACACACUCAGAGUCUGGUUUUUAGCACCUGCAAAAACAUGCUAUUUACAUAUUUGACAAGAAUGCAGAGGCUCCUUUUGCCCCUGAAAAAAAUCAAAUUUCAAACACAACUUGACUGGUCAUUUCUCCAAAAGACAACCAUGAAGCUCCAUCCAAACCUGAAGCAGGCAGUUGGUGCAUGUGUACAGUAGCCUGAGGGGAGUGAGGUGAGUGCUUCUGAGGAGAACAUGAGCAGUGAAGAUUCACCUUGGAGCUAGAACAGAGACAUGCACAUGAUUAUACAGGGGCAGGGGCUCAAGUUUUUUCCAGUCGUUUAUACAAUAUGGAAAUUAAUGUGAAAUUAAAACACAAAGUAUUAAGAGAAAGGUAAUGACUGUCCUGUGUAGGUGACAGUGAUAUCCAAUAGGCUAGGCACUCACGAGGCUGGCUGUGGCAAGUGUAAGUGAAAGCAACACGCACUGGCAGGAAGAACAGCAAACGCCGAUGAAGGAAAAGGGUCUUUGCAGUGAUGGGCGUUAACAGAGAGGGCGAUGGCCAGAGGACACAAAUGGGACGGGGAGGCAGCACAUUGGGGGGGGGGGGAGACACGACACGGCUCGGGCCCGCCAGUGCCCCAACGGGGUCCUAGUUAGGGCCCGAGCGUAGCUGCUAAGCAGCUGCGAGAGCCCUCUUGUUCCUGUAUGUUUCCUUCUUUUGUUAUUAUUAUUAUUUUUCCUCCCCUUUGAACUGGAAAAUGGCCCACUUCCCACUGGCGAAAACUCAUGAAAUUUGGCAGGACGACCGGGCCUGGUGAAAAAUUUGAUAUUCCGAAGUCGCCCAAACAAGAAAAUGCAAAAUGGCUCCAUAGCGCCCCCUAAGGUGAAAAUUCACACUAUUGACUGUCACGCCUGUACGCUUUGUCAAAAUGACACAAAAAUUGACACACACAUGUAUCUCAAUAAGAUCUACAAAAAAGUCAGUGCGGGUGUAUCUGUCAAAUGUACGGUUAAAGGGUUAUUUCGCAUUUUUUGCCGAUCCGCACACAUUGGAAUUUCGCUAACUCCUCCGAAGGCUUUCGUUCCACCGGCACCACAUUUGCUCAGGCCAAUCUACACCCCAUGGCCAUUAAAAGUUAUUCAAAUCAUGACGCUGCACCCCACGGUUUAGGUUCUAGGGGGCGCCAAAGAUAACCCUAAGAUCCACAUAUUUAAAAGUCUUAUAACUUUUUAUUUUUGCCCUCACUGGCCUCCAAGUUUUCUAGGAUGAUGCAAUGUCCAGGCAUCAACACAUUUGUGAAGGAAUUUUUACUCCCCAAAAGAGCGCCCCCCCAUGGCAGGAGAAAAAAGUCCAUUUUUUCUUGUCCCCUAAGGUGAAAAUACACAUUGUUGAGUGUAACACCUGUACGCUUUGGCAAAAUGACACAAAAAUUGACACACACAUGUAUCUCAAUAAGAUCUACGAAAAAGUCAAUGGGCGCGUAUCUGUUAAAUGUACGGUUAAAGGGUUAUUCCGCAUUUUUUGCCGAUCCGCACACAUUGGAAUUUCGCUAACUCCUCCGAAGGCUUUCGUUCCACCGGCACCACAUUUGCUCAGGCCAAUCUACACCCCAUGGCCAUUAAAAGUUAUUCAAAUCAUGACGCUGCACCCCACGGUUUAGGUUCUAGGGGGCGCCAAAGAUAACCGUAAAAUCCACAUAUUUAAAAGUCUUAUAACUUUUUAUUUUUGUCCCCACUGGCCUCCAAGUUUUCUAGGAUGAUGCAAUGUCCAGCCAUCAACACAUUUGUGAAGGAGUUUUUUCUCGUUAAAAGAGCGCCCCCCCAUGGCAGGAGAAAAAAGUCCAUUUUUUCUUGUCCACUAAGGUGAAAAUACACAUUGUUGAGUGCUACGCCUGUAUGUUUUGUCGUAUUGACACAAAAUUUUACAUACACGUGUAUUUCAAUAAGAUCUUCGAAAAAGUCAAUGGCCACGUAUCUGUAAAAUGUACGGUUAAAGGGUUAUUUUGCAUUUUUUGCAGAUUCGCACACAUUGGAAUUUCGCUAACUCCUCCGAAGGCUUUCGUUCCACCGGCACCACAUUUGCUCAGGCCAAUCUACACCCCAUGGCCAUUAAAAGUUAUUCAAAUCAUGACGCUGCACCCCACGGUUUAGGUUCUAGGGGGCGCCAAAGAUAACCCUAAAAUCCACAUAUUUAAAAGUCUUAUAACUUUUUAUUUUUGUCCUCACUGGCCUCCAUGUUUUCUAGGAUGAUGCAAUGUCCAGCCAUCAACACAUUUGUGAAGGAGUUUUUUCUCGUUAAAAGAGCGCCCCCCCAUGGCAGGAGAAUAAAGUCAAGUUUUUCCUGUUCAUCAUUCAAUGGCUCAAACGCACUGCUCUCUCGGCAAAAGCGAAAGGAGGAACAACUUGCCAUUUGGAUAUAUAUCUUAGCUGUGUUUGUGCCCUCACUCAUGGUCCAGACUUUUUUCAAAUAGGACAUGGAGUUUUUCUGCAGCGAGCGCUUUGGUAGAAACUGCGCCUCCCGUUCAUUAUAAUGGUAAAUGACCACAAACAAGUGCGCACACCAUCUUUGGACCUUGAGUGUGACGCGAUCGGGUGGGGGAGGCGGUCGCGCUGGGGGCGGCGUGACACGGCUCGGGCCCGCCAGUGCCCCAACGGGGCCCUAGUUAUUAUUUUUCCUCCCCUUUGAACUGGAAAAUGGCCCACUUCCCACUGGCGAAAACUCAUGAAAUUUGGCAGGACGACCGGGCCUGGUGAAAAAUUUGAUAUUCCGAAGUCGCCCAAACAAGAAAAUGCAAAAUGGCUCCAUAGCGCCCCCUAAGGUGAAAAAUUCACCUGACGCCUGUACGCUUUGUCAAAAUGACACAAAAAUUGACACACACAUGUAUCUCAAUAAGAUCUACAAAAAAGUCAGUGCGGGCGUAUCUGUCAAAUGUACGGUUAAAGGGUUAUUGCGCAUUUUUUGCCGAUCCGCACAC